UGGUAGUAGUAAAAGAGUGCUUCAUGGAAGAUUAUAGUAUGUUAUAACGUGUUGUCACAACAAAGUAACUUUUUGCAAAGAAUUGUCUGAUUUUGGAUGUUUUGUAACAUUUUUUUUCAUGGAUUGUCUUUUCUCUCAUUCCAGGUCCAAGGAUUGUUUUUCUUCUGGGCCCCAGUGUUCAAAUCGGGUCUGGUCGGGGCUGGUCUGACAGAAAUGAGUCAACCAGCAGAGAAACUGAGCCUUUCCCUGUCUGGUGUACUGACAGCCACAUGUAUAGUGGAGUUCCUAUAUUCUUCAGUGAGUAACAGGUCUGACCUGGUCCAGAUACUCUUUGGUCAUCAUUCCAAAGAACUGGAACUUCUUUGUCAACUUAUUUGUGGGUAGUGCUGGAAUAUCCCAGCUCUACAGGAUUUUCUAGUAUGAGCACUAGCAAAGGAGGCUGCCCCUGCAGAGUCUUGAGUGUUGAGUUUCACCAAUCUAAUCCAACUCCCUGGACCGAAAGGGAGCCUCAUUACCGGCAGAAACCCAGCUCCUCCAUUCCGCUUCCACCCUUGCUCCAUUUUACAGUAAAAAAAAAAGAAUGUUUCCUUGCUGGAGAUCAUUUACUUUGCCUGGAUUUCUUCAGGUUUAUAAUGGCAUAUUAACCCUUACCAAAACACACUCAAAUGGUGUCAUCUGCACACAAUGUUUUAUUUUUACUUCAUGAAACAAGUUGUUUAAUUGUUUAUUCUUAAAUUAAUAUUUAUCAUGCAUUUUUUUGGAAGUGUUGCUUUUUUCCAAACUUUUUUUUUUUUUUUCAUCAUACCUCAUGGUGUGGUUUCCUAAGGAUGAUCUUAAGUCUGUGUUUGAAUGUCUCCAAUAUUUAUUAGAUCAAUGUUGGUAAUUAUUUCUAUAGUCGUACCUGAAGGAUGAUUAAACCAUACAUUCAUGCCA